rnacentral:rRNA from 1 species
UACGAAGGGGGCUAGCGUUGUUCGGAAUUACUGGGCGUAAAGCGUGCGCAGGUGGCUUCUCAAGUCAGGGGUGAAAGCCCAGAGCUCAACUCUGGAAUUGCCUUUGAGACUGAGUGGCUUGAGUACGAGAGAGGUGAGUGGAAUUCCCAGUGUAGAGGUGAAAUUCGUAGAUAUUCGCAAGAACACCAGUGGCGAAGGCGGCUCACUGGCCCGGUACUGACGCUGAGGAGCGAAAGCGUGGGGAGCAAACAGG